AACACGUGGGUAACCUGCCCAUAAGACUGGGAUAACUCCGGGAAACCGGGGCUAAUACCGGAUAACAUUUUGAACCGCAUGGUUCGAAAUUGAAAGGCGGCUUCGGCUGUCACUUAUGGAUGGACCCGCGUCGCAUUAGCUAGUUGGUGAGGUAACGGCUCACCAAGGCAACGAUGCGUAGCCGACCUGAGAGGGUGAUCGGCCACACUGGGACUGAGACACGGCCCAGACUCCUACGGGAGGCAGCAGUAGGGAAUCUUCCGCAAUGGACGAAAGUCUGACGGAGCAACGCCGCGUGAGUGAUGAAGGCUUUCGGGUCGUAAAACUCUGUUGUUAGGGAAGAACAAGUGCUAGUUGAAUAAGCUGGCACCUUGACGGUACCUAACCAGAAAGCCACGGCUAACUACGUGCCAGCAGCCGCGGUAAUACGUAGGUGGCAAGCGUUAUCCGGAAUUAUUGGGCGUAAAGCGCGCGCAGGUGGUUUCUUAAGUCUGAUGUGA
rnacentral:rRNA from 1 species